rnacentral:snoRNA from 13 species
AAAUCAAGUGAUGAAUCUGGAUUGUAAAUUUCUCACGACGGUCGUCUGAGACACUUCGUGUCAACACUGAUGUAAAGAUCCAAUGUUUCUGAUGAUU